AAUUUUAGGAGGCUCGUAUAUAUCGUUCGCAUCAUACUUCCUAGACCCUCAUCUAAAACCCUAAAUCGCGCGCAUUGCCUUAUAGACAGUCCCAGAGUUCGGUAGAAUAUCGGGGCAUCGGCUUAUAAUCAAAUCUCUGAGUCUCGAGCACAUCUCACAUAGGUUUAAUGGCUGCCAGUAGCAACAAUCUACCCGAGGGUGUGGAUAAGGAACAGGCUUUUGGUAUGGCAGCAACAGAGAUGGAGUACAGGGUGGAGUUGUUUAAUCGGCUUACUCAAACAUGUUUCAACAAGUGUGUUGACAAAAGGUACAAGGAAUCUGAGCUAAAUAUGGGUGAAAACAGUUGCAUUGAUCGAUGUGUAUCAAAAUAUUGGCUGGCUGGCCCAAUCUCUCUCUUAAGUGAAUUCAUGUGCAUGUUUUGUGCUACACUUGAGGUUUGUGAUUGCCGGGAAAGGCCUUGCUCCUUGUAAAGCAUGUGAUCUUUUCCAGAAGUUAUCUUAAAACUAUCUAGGAGUUGAGUUCCUUGCUUCUAAUUUAAGAUGCGGCAUUGCCAUGUGGAGACGUGAACUCACUGAUUAGGAUUCCAUCAUGUGCUGGUGAAUGGUAUAGUUGGCCAGAUGCUCAGUGCCGGUCGCCCUCCAAUGUAGAACUCAUACCUGCUUGAGAUUUCAAAGGCAUGCACAGAUCUGCUGCGAGGGGAAGGUAAAACUCUGAUUUUAAGCAGGAGGGAAUGUUGGGACCAAGAAUAAGUAAUUAUGUGAUCUUAUUUCUCCUUCCUCUAAUUCGACUGAUCAUGCCAUUUUGUUUCUUGAGAUUGAUAAAUGGGCAGUUUUGCAUCAAUGGUGCCCUUGUAGCAUGUCUCUUUAGCUUUGUGUAUUCUGAUGAGUGCUGACUGUUACCCAUGCCCCACAAGUGGUGUUAACUUUUAUUUAGAAACUAGAGCAAGAUAUAAGUGGAAUUUACAUGCUUACAGGUAUAUGAUUAUAGCAGUAGGAAUAUUUGUUA